rnacentral:rRNA from 1 species
UACGUAGGGUCCGAGCGUUGUCCGGAAUUACUGGGCGUAAAGAGCUCGUAGGUGGUUUGUCGCGUUGUUCGUGAAAACUCACAGCUCAACUGUGGGCGUGCGGGCGAUACGGGCAGACUAGAGUACUGCAGGGGAGACUGGAAUUCCUGGUGUAGCGGUGGAAUGCGCAGAUAUCAGGAGGAACACCGGUGGCGAAGGCGGCUCUCUGGGACGGUACUGACGCUGAGACGCGAAAGCGUGGGGAGCGAACAGG